AAAGAAAGAGGGAGGCAUGCCUAACACAUGCAAGUCGAACGAGACCUUCGGGUCUAGUGGCGCACGGGUGCGUAACGCGUGGGAACCUGCCCUUAGGUUCGGAAUAACUCCCCGAAAGGGGUGCUAAUACCGGAUAAUGUCUUCGGACCAAAGAUUUAUCGCCUUUGGAUGUUCCCUCUUUUGAUUAGCUAUUUGGUAGGGUAAAAGCCUACCAAGGCGACGAUCCAUAGCUGGUCUGAGAGGAUGAUCAGCCACACUGGGACUGAGACACGGCCCAGACUAAUAAGGGAGGCAGAAGUGGGGAAUAUUGGAAAAUGGGAGAAAGAAUGAUACAGAAAUGCCGCGUGAGUGAUGAAGGCCUUAGGGUUGUAAAGAUAUUUUAAAAGGGAUGAUAAUGAAAGUAAAGGGAGAAUAAGAUAAGGAUAAAUAAGUG
rnacentral:rRNA from 1 species